rnacentral:piRNA from 1 species
CCCAAGGAAAUGUGCUUGGACUUGAUGU